rnacentral:lncRNA from 1 species
AUGGACAAAUUCAAGAAAUGUAAAAAAAAAACAGUUGGCGCUUUGAAGAGAGUCAAGUUAAUUAAUAAAAAAAAAAAUGGUAAAGCCAAAUCAAUGAAAAGCAUAAAUUACGACCCAAACAGCUUUAUCACAAAACGUAUUAUAAAAUAUUUAAAUGAUAAAAGAAAAGAAAGUUACAAUAAUGUAUCAAAGGGGAAGAGUAAGGAUAGUAUAAAUUGUAACAACAUAAACGAAGUUGUAAUAGAUGAAAACAAAGCAAAUGAUAUAAAAAAAAUUUUAUUUUUAGGAAAAAAAGAUAUUGCUGAACUUGAUUUGAUUAAAAAUUGUUUAAUUUUUAAUAACGAUGAGACUUUAAAAAAAAUUAGUUAUAAACUGUUAUAUGAUAUUGUGAAAAAAUGUAUAGACCAUGAAACUGUUUUAAUGAAAGUUGAGGAAUUAGGGUUUACAACAGAUAAUAUAAGGGAUAAUUAUGAUAAACAUAUAAAUAUAUGUUCAAAAUAUAAAACAUACAAUUUUUUUAAUUAUAUAUAUAAAAAUUUAAAAAUUAUUAAAGUAACUAAAAAUUUUGAACUUUUCUAUAAAUUAAUAAAUGUUAUAAAACAAAUUAUACGUAUUACUCCAUAUGUGUUUAAAAUAAAAUUUCUUUUUCUUUUUUGUUCUAUUUUUAAUGUAUAUCAACAAGAGUACGAGAGGUAUAGUACCAGUUGCGUAGAAAAUGGAUCUUUUGAUGGUGAUCAUCCUGAUGGUGAUCAUCCUGAUGGUGAUCAUCCUGAUGGUGGUCAUCCUGAUGGUGGACACACUACCAACAAAUCAAGUUUAAUGAGCAACGAUAAAGAUUCUUUUUUCAAUUUAUACUUCGAAUUAAUGAACGAAUUGAUACAAUUAAAAUAUAAUUAUAACAGUUAUGAUGAUUAUUACACUAAAUUUAAUUAUUUUGUUUUGCGAUGGAUGUUAGUUUAUUAUAAAAACAAAUAUGAUUUUUUUUUAAGAAAAGAAAUAAGUUCAGUAACAAAAUCCAAUUAUAUUAUUUUGUUAUUGAACAUAUUUAAAUAUGUACAUGAAAGUUCUAAUUGGAUAGCUAACGAAAUUACAAUAACAAAAAGGAGUAAUGUAAAUACAUAUACGGAAGAACCAUCUUUUAUCCAAACCAUAGAAAGUUCCAACAACUUAAUGGAACAACCGGAUAAUAUUUUUAGAAGAGACGUUCCAUAUAUGACAGACAUCUCAAAUGUGACAGACAUCCCAAAUAAUUUACAUCAUCCCAACAAUUUACAU